AUUGAACGCUGGCGGCAGGCCUAACACAUGCAAGUCGAACGAGUGGCGGACGGGUGAGUAAUGUCUGGGAAACUGCCUGAUGGAGGGGGAUAACUACUGGAAACGGUAGCUAAUACCGCAUACCAUCGGAUGUGCCCAGAUGGGAUUAGCUAGUAGGUGGGGUAAAGGCUCACCUAGGCGACGAUCCCUAGCUGGUCUGAGAGGAUGACCGGCCACACUGGAACUGAGACACGCUCCAGGCUCCUACGGUAGGCAGUAGUGGGGAAUAUUGCACAAUGGGCGCAAGCCGGAUGCAGCAAGGCCGCGUGUGUGAAGAAGGUCUUCGGGUUGUAAAGUACUGUCGGCGGUGAGGCGUUACCUGAAGAAGAAGCACCGGCUAACUCCGGGCCAGCCGCCGCGGUAAUUC
rnacentral:rRNA from 1 species